GCUGGUAGCCCCGCCCCUCCGGGGACGGAGGCUGGGUCAGCUGGGAGAGGGGCAGGGGUGUGUCUACAGUGACCACUGCCAGAGCUUCUGCUGAAAGCACUGUUCUGAGGGCCCAUCCUACCCAAGAGGAAGGGCACUGGAGGUGACCACAGGAGCCUGGGCAGGGGUCUUUGCUGCUCAUGCAGUUUCCUGGCCAUGUUGGUUGGUUUCUCAAGUACAUGAGGGUUCACCGCCUUAGAGAAGGGGAAUGAACUGAGGUACUUUCUGAUCUUCCUCUAAAGGAAAGAAAAAAAAAUGAAGAAAAUGCUCGCCUCUCAGGAGUUGGAUACUGAAUCUUUCUGCUGAGUUAGUGAAAGGGGAACAGAGUUCUGAUUUCUAAGGAAACGUUAUGAAAAUAUUCCGCUCACUCUUUCAUUUUUAAUAUGAACUCAAUUUCAUCUAGACUACCAAGAAAAAUUCGUCAUUAGUGAAACUUCAAAAAGGUCUUGCGAUGACAGGUCUAGAAAUUUUCUUUCACAUUCGUGUUUCAAAAUUGGGCGGGUUAAACGGAGAAAAAAGAAGCAAGUUCGCCAAAUCAUCUAAUUGCACAUAUGAUUUUGAUCUCACAGACACCCCCACUGUUUUCCGAGGUCUCUCAGCUUGGUGUCAUUGAUGGAGCAUGCUGUGAACCCUGUCCAUAAAUUAAGAUGUGGAUAUGACAGUGAUCCAAAGGCCCAGCACAAUUUGCAACCUGAUAAAGCAGCAAGUGACCAUUUCUGGGGAGGACGGGCAACAGGCUUCCAUUCUACCUAGGCUGCAGUGCUCCAGGGGAAUGAAGCCAUUAUUCAUACAGAG
rnacentral:lncRNA from 1 species